rnacentral:rRNA from 1 species
AAUCCAUAGGUUAAUGAGGCGAACCGGGGGAACUGAAACAUCUAAGUACCCCGAGGAAAAGAAAUCAACCGAGAUUCCCCCAGUAGCGGCGAGCGAACGGGGAGGAGCCCAGAGCCUGAAUCAGCAUGUGUGUUAGUGGAAGCGUCUGGAAAGGCGCGCGAUACAGGGUGACAGCCCCGUACACAAAAGCGCAUGUGCUGUGAGCUCGAUGAGUAGGGCGGGACACGUGGUAUCCUGUCUGAAUAUGGGGGGACCAUCCUCCAAGGCUAAAUACUCCUGACUGACCGAUAGUGAACCAGUACCGUGAGGGAAAGGCGAAAAGAACCCCGGCGAGGGGAGUGAAAAAGAACCUGAAACCGUGUACGUACAAGCAGUGGGAGCACAGGUUUACCUGUGUGACUGCGUACCUUUUGUAUAAUGGGUCAGCGACUUAUAUUCUGUAGCAAGGUUAACCGAAUAGGGGAGCCGGAGGGAAACCGAGUCUUAAUUGGGCGUUAAGUUGCAGGGUAUAGACCCGAAACCCGGUGAUCUAGCCAUGGGCAGGUUGAAGGUUGGGUAACACUAACUGGAGGACCGAACCGACUAAUGUUGAAAAAUUAGCGGAUGACCUGUGGCUGGGGGUGAAAGGCCAAUCAAACCGGGAGAUAGCUGGUUCUCCCCGAAAGCUAUUUAGGUAGCGCCUCGUGAAUUCAUCUCCGGGGGUAGAGCACUGUUUCGGCUAGGGGGCCAUCCCGGCUUACCAACCCGAUGCAAACUGCGAAUACCGGAGAAUGUUAUCACGGGAGACACACGGCGGGUGCUAACGUCCGUCGUGAAGAGGGAAACAACCCAGACCGCCAGCUAAGGUCCCAAAGUCAUGGUUAAGUGGGAAACGAUGUGGGAAGGCCCAGACAGCCAGGAUGUUGGCUUAGAAGCAGCCAUCAUUUAAAGAAAGCGUAAUAGCUCACUGGUCGAGUCGGCCUGCGCGGAAGAUGUAACGGGGCUAAACCAUGCACCGAAGCUGCGGCAGCGAACGUAUCACCCAAGACAACUUUGCGGAGUUGACGAUUGACGGAGCGAAGCGACGUCAAAGCGUUCAUUAAAGUCGAGUUGGCUUAGGGAUACGUUCGUUGGGUAGGGGAGCGUUCUGUAAGCCUGUGAAGGUGGCCUGUGAGGGUUGCUGGAGGUAUCAGAAGUGCGAAUGCUGACAUAAGUAACGAUAAAGCGGGUGAAAAGCCCGCUCGCCGGAAGACCAAGGGUUCCUGUCCAACGUUAAUCGGGGCAGGGUGAGUCGACCCCUAAGGCGAGGCCGAAAGGCGUAGUCGAUGGGAAACGGGUUAAUAUUCCCGUACUUGGUGUUACUGCGAAGGGGGGACGGAGAAGGCUAUGUUGGCCGGGCGACGGUUGUCCCGGUUUAAGCGUGUAGGUGUGUGUUCCAGGUAAAUCCGGUUCACUUUAACACUGAGGCGUGACGACGAGGCACUACGGUGCUGAAGCAACAAAUGCCCUGCUUCCAGGAAAAGCCUCUAAGCAUCAGGUAACAUCAAAUCGUACCCCAAACCGACACAGGUGGUCAGGUAGAGAAUACCAAGGCGCUUGAGAGAACUCGGGUGAAGGAACUAGGCAAAAUGGUGCCGUAACUUCGGGAGAAGGCACGCUGAUAUGUAGGUGAAGCGGUUUACCCGUGGAGCUGAAAUCAGUCGAAGAUACCAGCUGGCUGCAACUGUUUAUUAAAAACACAGCACUGUGCAAACACGAAAGUGGACGUAUACGGUGUGACGCCUGCCCGGUGCCGGAAGGUUAAUUGAUGGGGUCAGCGCAAGCGAAGCUCCUGAUCGAAGCCCCGGUAAACGGCGGCCGUAACUAUAACGGUCCUAAGGUAGCGAAAUUCCUUGUCGGGUAAGUUCCGACCUGCACGAAUGGCGUAAUGAUGGCCAGGCUGUCUCCACCCGAGACUCAGUGAAAUUGAACUCGCUGUGAAGAUGCAGUGUACCCGCGGCAAGACGGAAAGACCCCGUGAACCUUUACUAUAGCUUGACACUGAACAUUGAGCCUUGAUGUGUAG